rnacentral:rRNA from 1 species
GGAAUCUGGGAGGACCAUCUCCUAAGGCUAAAUACUCUCUAGUGACCGAUAGUGAACCAGUACCGUGAGGGAAAGGUGAAAAGCACCCCGGAAGGGGAGUGAAAUAGAACCUGAAACCGUGUGCUUACAAGUAGUCAGAGCCCGUUAAUGGGUGAUGGCGUGCCUUUUGUAGAAUGAACCGGCGAGUUACGAUUUGAUGCAAGGUUAAGCAGUAAAUGUGGAGCCGUAGCGAAAGCGAGUCUGAAUAGGGCGUUUAGUAUUUGGUCGUAGACCCGAAACCAGGUGAUCUACCCUUGGUCAGGUUGAAGUUCAGGUAACACUGAAUGGAGGACCGAACCGACUUACGUUGAAAAGUGAGCGGAUGAACUGAGGGUAGCGGAGAAAUUCCAAUCGAACCUGGAGAUAGCUGGUUCUCUCCGAAAUAGCUUUAGGGCUAGCCUCAAGUGAUGAUUAUUGGAGGUAGAGCACUGUUUGGACGAGGGGCCCCUCUCGGGUUACCGAAUUCAGACAAACUCCGAAUGCCAAUUAAUUUAACUUGGGAGUCAGAACAUGGGUGAUAAGGUCCGUGUUCGAAAGGGAAACAGCCCAGACCACCAGCUAAGGUCCCAAAAUAUAUGUUAAGUGGAAAAGGAUGUGGCGUUGCCCAGACAACUAGGAUGUUGGCUUAGAAGCAGCCAUCAUUUAAAGAGUGCGUAAUAGCUCACUAGUCGAGUGACACUGCGCCGAAAAUGUACCGGGGCUAAACAUAUUACCGAAGCUGUGGAUUGUCCUUUGGACAAUGGUAGGAGAGCGUUCUAAGGGCGUUGAAGCAUGAUCGUAAGGACAUGUGGAGCGCUUAGAAGUGAGAAUGCCGGUGUGAGUAGCGAAAGACGGGUGAGAAUCCCGUCCACCGAUUGACUAAGGUUUCCAGAGGAAGGCUCGUCCGCUCUGGGUUAGUCGGGUCCUAAGCUGAGGCCGACAGGCGUAGGCGAUGGAUAACAGGUUGAUAUUCCUGUACCACCUAUAAUCGUUUUAAUCGAUGGGGGGACGCAGUAGGAUAGGCGAAGCGUGCGAUUGGAUUGCACGUCUAAGCAGUAAGGCUGAGUAUUAGGCAAAUCCGGUACUCGUUAAGGCUGAGCUGUGAUGGGGAGAAGACAUUGUGUCUUUGAGUCGUUGAUUUCACACUGCCGAGAAAAGCCUCUAGAUAGAAAAUAGGUGCCCGUACCGCAAACCGACACAGGUAGUCAAGAUGAGAAUUCUAAGGUGAGCGAGCGAACUCUCGUUAAGGAACUCGGCAAAAUGACCCCGUAACUUCGGGAGAAGGGGUGCUCUUUAGGGUUAACGCCCAGAAGAGCCGCAGUGAAUAGGCCCAAGCGACUGUUUAUCAAAAACACAGGUCUCUGCUAAACCGUAAGGUGAUGUAUAGGGGCUGACGCCUGCCCGGUGCUGGAAGGUUAAGAGGAGUGGUUAGCUUCUGCGAAGCUACGAAUCGAAGCCCCAGUAAACGGCGGCCGUAACUAUAACGGUCCUAAGGUAGCGAAAUUCCUUGUCGGGUAAGUUCCGACCCGCACGAAAGGCGUAACGAUUUGGGCACUGUCUCAACGAGAGACUCGGUGAAAUCAUAGUACCUGUGAAGAUGCAGGUUACCCGCGACAGGACGGAAAGACCCCGUGGAGCUUUACUGUAGCCUGAUAUUGAAAUUCGGCACAGCUUGUACAGGAUAGGUAGGAGCCUUUGAAACGUGAGCGCUAGCUUACGUGGAGGCGCUGGUGGGAUACUACCCUAGCUGUGUUGGCUUUCUAACCCGCACCACUUAUCGUGGUGGGAGACAGUGUCAGGCGGGCAGUUUGACUGGGGCGGUCGCCUCCUAAAAGGUAACGGAGGCGCUCAAAGGUUCCCUCAGAAUGGUUGGAAAUCAUUCAUAGAGUGUAAAGGCAUAAGGGAGCUUGACUGCGAGACCUACAAGUCGAGCAGGGUCGAAAGACGGACUUAGUGAUCCGGUGGUUCCGCAUGGAAGGGCCAUCGCUCAACGGAUAAAAGCUACCCCGGGGAUAACAGGCUUAUCUCCCCCAAGAGUUCACAUCGACGGGGAGGUUUGGCACCUCGAUGUCGGCUCAUCGCAUCCUGGGGCUGUAGUCGGUCCCAAGGGUUGGGCUGUUCGCCCAUUAAAGCGGUACGCGAGCUGGGUUCAGAACGUCGUGAGACAGUUCGGUCCCUAUCCGUCGUGGGCGUAGGAAAUUUGAGAGGAGCUGUCCUUAGUACGAGAGGACCGGGAUGGACAUACCUCUGGUGUACCAGUUGUCGUGCCAACGGCAUAGCUGGGUAGCUAUGUGUGGACGGGAUAAGUGCUGAAAGCAUCUAAGCAUGAAGCCCCCCUCAAGAUGAGAUUUCCCAACUUCGGUUAUAAGAUCCCUCAAAGAUGAUGAGGUUAAUAGGUUCGAGGUGGAAGCAUGGUGACAUGUGGAGCUGACGAAUACUAAUCGAUCGAAGACUUAAUCAA